CACGUAGGCACCAAGCGUUAUCCGGAUUUAUUGGGCGUAAAGAGCUCGUAGGCGGUUUGUCGCGUCUGCUGUGAAAGUCCGAGGCUCAACCUCGGAUCUGCAGUGGGUACGGGCAGACUAGAGUGCGGUAGGGGAGAUUGGAAUUCCUGGUGUAGCGGUGGAAUGCGCAGAUAUCAGGAGGAACACCAAUGGCGAAGGCAGAUCUCUGGGCCGUAACUGACGCUGAGGAGCGAAAGCAUGGGGAGCGAACAGG
rnacentral:rRNA from 1 species